GUACAGAAACACACUCAACCGCCCCGAGGUACACACGUACAGAAACACACUCAACCGCCCCGAGGUACACACGUACAGAAACACACUCAACCGCCCCGAGGUACACACGUACAGAAACACACUCAACCGCCCCGAGGUACACAGGUACAGAAACACACUCAACCGCCCGAGGUACACAGGUACAGAAACACUCAACCGCCCGAGGUACACAGGUACAGAAACACUCAACCGCCCGAGGUACACAGGUACAGAAACACACUCAACCGCCCCGAGGUACACGGGUACAGAAACACUCAACCGCCCCGAGGUACACACGGGUACAGAAACGCACUCAACCGCCCGAGGUACACACGUACAGAAACGCACUCAACCGCCCCGAGGUACACAGGUACAGAAACGCACUCAACCGCCCGAGGUACACACGUACAGAAACGCCCCGAGGUACACACGUACAGAAACGCACUCAACCGCCCCGAGGUACACACGUACAGAAACGCACUCAACCGCCCGAGGUACACACGUACAGAAACGCACUCAACCGCCCCGAGGUAUACACGUACAGAAACGCACUCAACCGCCCCGAGGUAUAAGUACAGAAACGCACUCAACCGCCCCGAGGUAUAAGUACAGAAACGCACUCAACCGCCCGAGGUAUAAGUACAGAAACACACUCAACCGCCCCGAGGUAUAAGUACAGAAACACACUCAACCGCCCCGAGGUAUAAGCACAGUACACACUCAACCGCCCGAGGUAUAAGUACAGAAACGCACUCAACCGCCCCGAGGUAUAAGUACAGAAACGCACUCAACCGCCCGAGGUAUAAGUACAGAAACGCACUCAACCGCCCGAGGUACACGUACAGAAACGCACUCAACCGCCCCGAGGUAUAAGUACAGAAACACACUCAACCGCCCCGAGGUAUAAGUACAGAAACACACUCAACCGCCCCGAGGUACACGUACAGAAACGCACUCAACCGCCCCGAGGUAUAAGUACAGAAACACACUCAACCGCCCGAGGUAUAAGUACAGAAACACACUCAACCGCCCGAGGUACACGUACAGAAACACACUCAACCGCCCCGAGGUAUAAGUACAGAAACACACUCAACCGCCCCGAGGUAUAAGUACAGAAACACAC